rnacentral:rRNA from 1 species
UAUGGGAGUCUGCCCGAUAGAGGGGGAGUAACUACUGGAAACGGUAGCUAAUACCGCAUAAUGUCGCAAGACCAAAGUGGGGGACCUUCGGGCCUCAUGCCAUCAGAUGUGCCCAGAUGGGAUUAGCUAGUAGGUGGGGUAACGGCUCACCUAGGCGACGAUCUCUAGCUGGUCUGAGAGGAUGAUCAGCCACACUGGGACUGAGACACGGCCCAG